rnacentral:rRNA from 1 species
UACGGAGGGUGCAAGCGUUGUUCGGAUUUACUGGGCGUAAAGCGCGCGCAGGUGGAUGGACAAGUCGGAAGUGAAAUCUUGAGGCUCAACCUCGAGGCUGCUCCCGAAACUGUUCGUCUAGGGACUGGUAGAGGCUGGUAGAAUUCCCGGUGUAGCGGUGGAAUGCGUAGAGAUCGGGAAGAAUACCCGUGGCGAAGGCGGCCGGCUGGGGGUUACCUGACGCUGAGGCGCGAAAGCGUGGGGAGCGAACCGG